rnacentral:rRNA from 1 species
UACAGAGGUCUCAAGCGUUGUUCGGAUCCAUUGGGCGUAAAGGGUGUGUAGGUGGCGCCGUAAGUCGGGUGUGAAAUUUCGGAGCUUAACUCCGAAACUGCAUUCGAUACUGCGGUGCUUGAGGAUUGGAGAGGAGACUGGAAUUCAUGGUGUAGCAGUGAAAUGCGUAGAGAUCAUGAGGAAGACCAGUGGCGAAGGCGGGUCUCUGGGACGGUACUGACGCUGAGACGCGAAAGCGUGGGGAGCGAACAGG